rnacentral:rRNA from 1 species
GACGAACGCUGGCGGCGUGCUUAACACAUGCAAGUCGAACGAAGUGGCGAACGGGUGAGUAACGCGUAAUCAACCUGCCCUUCAGAGGGGGACAACAGUUGGAAACGACUGCUAAUACCGCAUACUGAAGGAGGGGAUUGCGUCGGAUUAGCUAGUUGGUGGGGUAACGGCCCACCAAGGCGAUGAUCUGUAGCCGGGCUGGGAGGGUGAACGGGCACAUUGGGACUGGGACACGGGCCCGACUCCUACGGGGGGCAGCAGUGGGGAAACUUCCGCAAUGGACGGAAGUCUGACGGAGCAACGCCGCGGGGGUGAUGACGGCCUUCGGGUUGUAAAGCUCUGUUAAUCGGGACGCGGUACCGGAAUAGAAAGCCACGGCUAACUACGUGCCAGCAGCCGCGGUAAUUC